CGUGGGUAACCUGCCCAAGAGACUGGGAUAACACCUGGAAACAGAUGCUAAUACCGGAUAACAACACUAGACGCAUGUCUAGAGUUUAAAAGAUGGUUCUGCUAUCACUCUUGGAUGGACCUGCGGUGCAUUAGCUAGUUGGUAAGGUAACGGCUUACCAAGGCAAUGAUGCAUAGCCGAGUUGAGAGACUGAUCGGCCACAUUGGGACUGAGACACGGCCCAAACUCCUACGGGAGGCAGCAG
rnacentral:rRNA from 1 species